rnacentral:lncRNA from 1 species
CCGGUUUCCCAGCUCCUCACGGGAGGAGAUAACUCAGAGUCUCUGGUAAACUCGGAUCAGCGCACCAUGGGGACAGCCUGCCAUAAAAGUGUCUUCUCUCAUUUUCAAGGGCAAAUGGAAAUGAAGCCUUUUAUGAAGCUUCCCUGUUUUAAAACUGGAAAAUUGGCAGCCAAGGCAGCUUACGAGUGAGUCGGAAAGUCUGUCAGACUCACAACAUGACCCUUUGGAAGGUGAGGGACAUUUAUGAGUUUGUUUAUAGAAAACAUCAGAGCCAGUGUUAUGUUUACUUGGCUCAGUGUUGGGAUUCUGACCCUUUGAUCAGAUAAGAUCUCAUCACAGAGUGUUCUCAUUGGUUUUCCUGCAAGAAACAGCACUCAGUUGGGAAGGCGUGAAGUUCCAUGAGACAAGCCAGCAUUCCGGGGGCAGGUGGACUGAAUCCCAUCAUGAUUGGUCACCUUCCUUUCCUCAUAACACUUGACCUCCAAAGCAAACGUUCUCCAGCGUGAUCCUUUCCAGAAAGAUCCGGUGUUGGAACAUCAUGGUAUUUCUAGGGAGUGUGGGAGUUUCAGGAAAGAACAAAAUCUGACUCCAUGUUGGAUCUGUUCCUUUUACUCUAACCUUUGCUUCCCAUUGCUUUUGUUCACUGAAAGGAUACUGUCUAUAUGGAAUGCCCUGCUUUGGGGAACCCUUCCCUCUGACUGAAUGUUAAACCAAAGUGCCUAUGUUCAGGGAAACCCCCUAAAUCUAUCCAUCUGUGGAGAGGAAGGAAGAAAUUAACACAUCCCUCCCCAAGGGCUUCCCUGGUGGAUCAGAUGGUAAACAGUCUGUUGCCUGGUGAAUUCCAUGGACAGAGGAGCCUGGAAGACUACAGUCCAUGGGGUCACAAAGAGUCGGACAUGACUGAGUGACUAACCUUUUCAAUAAGCAUUAGCAGCCUUUUCCCCUAGGCUGACCAUUCCUGGAGCUAUUUGCAAGGUUAAUGGCCUUCUUACUCUACUUCCUCACCUUCUCCCUCUCUCUGUUCCAUAAAAGAACCUGGCAUCCAGAUUUCAAUAAGAUGGUUAUUUUGAGACAUUAGUCUGCCAUCCUCUCGAUCCUCUCAAUUCAGGCUUUCUGAAUAAAAUCAUGUUCCUUGC